UACGUAGGGUGCGAGCGUUGUCCGGAAUUAUUGGGCGUAAAGAGCUUGUAGGCGGUUUGUCGCGUCUGCCGUGAAAUUUCGAGGCUCAACUCCGGAUCUGCGGUGGGUACAGGCAGACUAGAGUGAUGUAGGGGAGACUGGAAUUCCUGGUGUAGCGGUGAAAUGCGCAGAUAUCAGGAGGAACACCGAUGGCGAAGGCAGGUCUCUGGGCAUUAACUGACGCUGAGGAGCGAAAGCAUGGGGAGCGAACAGG
rnacentral:rRNA from 1 species